ncrna:Bacillus cereus ATCC 14579 Fluoride riboswitch
AUAAUCCUAGGCGAUGGAGUUCGCCAUAAACGCGCUGCUUAUCUUAUGACUCCUACCAGUAU